UCAACAUGUUUGUUUCCUUAUUAUAUGUGCCAGACUGAAGUAUUUGUUGAAUUUUUGCUCAGACAUUUGCAUAGUGGGAUGGGAUGAAGAAAUUUGGGGAAAAAAAUGUUGGAGUGUUGAUCUUAGUCCAUUUGUUAGCAUAUACUCCACAAAGAACCAUUAGCAAAUUCAUGAAUCUUUUAUCUAUCUAUCUUUCUAUCUAUCUAUGUAGUUCAUUUGGGAAGAAUAACCAUGGUUAUGACUUACUCAUAAAGGAUUUGUGAGGUAGGUAGUUCACCUAAUAUUAAUUCCUUUUUGAAGAUAAGGAAAUUGAGGCCAAAGGGACAAGACACUUGCCCAAGGUAAUAGUACCAUAGUGCUGAAACUUGUGCCUUCUAUAUAUCUUGUGUUCUAUUGACUGUUGAUACUUAAAUAUUGGGUCUUAAUUUAGAGCCAGUAUAGGCCCUACUGGGAAAAGUGUCAAUGAAUUUCUUACAUGUGUCUGCACAGUGAGAUCCCACCAGUAGGCUGAAGGACUCCAAGGGAGAUAUAUGCUCAAUAAAAAGGUGAAAAAAAGUUGUACAAAUAGGACUGGCUUAGGUCAUUUUACUGUGUAACUUCUGCUUCUAACUUGGGAAGAAAUUAAAUUUUUUGUCAGCAUAAUUUGCCAUCAGAAUUUAGCUACUUGCUAAUGGAGAUGUUUAGGCAAGUUUUAGGUAAAGGGAAAUUAUGACCUAAAUGUCAUUUCAACUAGAGUACCUGUGGCUUGAUCAGUGGUCAUUUGUGUCUUCAGAAAGUUGCUUUUUCCUUCCUGUCUGUGUGUGUCAUGACAUUCAGAUGGGGCAGAAGUGGUGAACAUCACUGUAGAUGCCUGAGUCCAGCACCUUUUUGCUGAUAUUUUCUGAUAAACUGGCAUGUACAUAAGCAAAUAUUUACUUUUGUCAAUUUCAUGAGAGUUGCUAUGAAAAAUAAGAUGUGUCUUGUGUACAUAAUUUUCAGUCUACUGGGGUGAUUUGAUGAAUAUUUUAACCAUAGAAUGCAGCAGGUUGGUGUUACCAAAGAGAUAUUGAGGCAUUACGCCUGUGCUAACAGGUAGCUAUUAUAUACAAAAGAACAUAUAGUACAGAUCUAGAACAUUUCCAUUGUCUUAGAAAGUUACAGGUCUUAAGAGUAAUGAAAGGUUACAAGAUUUGGAGUUGUCUAGGUAGUCUUUCUUGCCAAAGGAGAGAUUGAACUGGGUCCCAAAUAAUGGGUAUGAAGAGCAAGGGGUGACAAGGUAUGGGGAUAUAAGAUCUUGAGAAUUU
rnacentral:lncRNA from 1 species